rnacentral:rRNA from 1 species
GGGGGGGGGGGGGGGGGGGGCGGGGGCGGGCGGGGCGGGGGGGGGCGGCCGGGGGGGGCACUGGGCGGUCGAGUGGCGACCGGGUGCGGAACACGGGGGUAACCUGCCCAUCAGAGGGGGAUAACAUCCGGAAACGGAUGCUAAAACCGCAUAUGUCUUCGAACCGCAUGGUUUGAAGGGUAAAAGAGGCGCAAGCUUCUUCGGAUGGAUUGACCCGCGGUCCAUUAGUUAGUUGGUUAGGUCACGGCUCACCAAGGCCGUGAUGCAUAGCCGACCUGAGAGGGUGAACGGCAACAUUGGGACUGAGACACGGCCCAAACUCCCACGGGAGGCAGCAGUAGGGAACCUUACGCAAUGGACGAAAGUCUGACGGAGCAACGCCGCGUGAGUGAAGAAGGUUUUCGGGUCGUAAAACUCUGUUGUUAGAGAAGAACAAGUGCUAGAGGAACUGUUAGCGCCUUGACGGUAUCUAACCAGAAAGCCACGGCUAACUACGUG